GGGGGGCAGCUACCAUGCAGUCGAACGGAAACAUGUCUAGCUUGCUAGAUGAUGUCGAGUGGCGGACGGGUGAGUAAUACUUAGGAACAUGCCCUUGGGUGGGGGAUAACUAUUGGAAACGAUAGCUAAUACCGCAUAACGUCUACGGACCAAAGGGGGGAGCUUGCUCCUCUCGCCCAAAGAGUGGCCUAAGCGAGAUUAGCUUGUUGGUGAGGUAAAGGCUCACCAAGGCGACGAUCUCUAGCUGUUCUGAGAGGAAGAUCAGCCACACUGGGACUGAGACACGGCCCAGACUCCUACGGGAGGCAGCAGUGGGGAAUAUUGCACAAUGGAGGAAACUCUGAUGCAGCCAUGCCGCGUGUGUGAAGAAGGCCUUCGGGUUGUAAAGCACUUUCAGUUGUGAGGAAAGCUUGGUGGUUAAUACCCAUCAGGUAUGACGUUAGCAACAGAAGAAGGACCGGCUAACUCCGUGCCAGCAGCCGCGGUAAC
rnacentral:rRNA from 1 species